rnacentral:rRNA from 1 species
UACGUAGGGGGCGAGCGCUAUCCGGAUUCAUUGGGCGUAAAGCGCGCGUAGGCGGCCGCCUAAGCGGAACCUCUAACCCCGGGGCUCAACCUCGGGCCGGGUUCCGGACUGGGCGGCUCGAGUGCGGUAGAGGAGAGCGGAAUUCCCGGUGUAGCGGUGGAAUGCGCAGAUAUCGGGAAGAACACCGAUGGCGAAGGCAGCUCUCUGGGCCGUCACUGACGCUGAGGCGUGAAAGCUGGGGGAGCGAACAGG